UACAGAGGGCGCGAGCGUUGUCCGGAAUCACUGGGCGUAAAGGGCGCGUAGGUGGCGGCAUAAGGCCGUGGUGAAAGUCUGGGGCUCAACCCCAGAUCGGCCAUGGCGACUGUGUCGCUUGGGUACUGUAGAGGCAGGUGGAAUUCCGGGUGUAGCGGUGGAAUGCGCAGAUAUCAGGAGGAACACCGAUGGCGAAGGCAGAUCUCUGGGCCGUAACUGACGCUGAGGAGCGAAAGCAUGGGGAGCGAACAGG
rnacentral:rRNA from 1 species